CCUACGGGAGGCAGCAGUGGGGAAUUUUGGACAAUGGGCGCAAGCCUGAUCCAGCAAUGCCGCGUGCAGGAAGAAGGCCCUCGGGUUGUAAACUGCUUUUGUCAGG
rnacentral:rRNA from 1 species